AUUGAACGCUGGCGGCAGGCUUAACACAUGCAAGUCGAGCGGGGGAAGGUAGCUUGCUACCGGACCUAGCGGCGGACGGGUGAGUAAUGCUUAGGAAUCUGCCUAUUAGUGGGGGACAACAUCUCGCAAGGGAUGCUAAUACCGCAUACGUCCCAUGGGAGAAAGCAGGGGAUGUUCGGACCUUGCGCUAAUAGAUGAGCCUAAGUCGGAUUAGCUAGUUGGUGGGGUAAAGGCCUACCAAGGCGACGAGCUGUAGCGGGUCUGAGAGGAUGAUCCGCCACACUGGGACUGAGACACGGCCCAGACUCCUACGGGAGGCAGCAGUGGGGAAUAUUGGACAAUGGGGGGAACCCUGAUCCAGCCAUGCCGCGUGUGUGAAGAAGGCCUUAUGGUUGUAAAGCACUUUAAGCGAGGAGGAGGCUACUUUAGUUAAUACCUAGAGAUAGUGGACGUUACUCGCAGAAUAAGCACCGGCUAACUCUGUGCCAGCAGCCGCCGUAA
rnacentral:rRNA from 1 species